AUUGAACGCUGGCGGCAGGCCUAACACAUGCAAGUCGAACGAUUGGCGGACGGGUGAGAAAUGUCUGGGAAACUGCCCGACGGAGGGGGAUAACUACUGGACACGGCAGCUAAUACCGCAUACCAUCUGAUGUGCCCAGAUGGGAUUAGCUAGUAGGUGGGGUAACGGCUCACAUAGGCGACGAACCCUAGCUGGUCGGAGAGUGUGACCAGCCACACGUGAACUGAUAGACUGUCCAGACUCCUACGGGAGGCAGCAGUGUGGAAUAUUGCACAAUGGGCGCAAGCCUGAUGCAGCCAUGCCGCGUGUAUGAAGAAGGCCUUCGGGUUGUAAAGUACUUUCAGCGAGGAGGCGUUACUCGCAGAAGAAGCACCGGCUAACUCCGUGCCAGCAGCCGCGGUAAUAC
rnacentral:rRNA from 1 species